GGGUUUGGGUCUGAAGGUUUGGGUGUGAAGGUUUGGGUCUGAAGGUUUGGGAAUGGAGGGUUUGGGGUUUGGGUCUGAAGGUUUGGGUUUGAAGGUUUGGGAAUGGAGGGUUUGGGUCUGAAAGGUUUGGGU